rfam:Clostridium argentinense CDC 2741 T732.Contig252, whole genome shotgun sequence.
UCCACCAUGAGGUGAAAUUUGAAGGAAGCCGGAGGUAAAAUAUCGAACUGACGAAUAGAAACUGUAUAAAAGGUUGAUGUGGAGCGGAUGAGCUUGCUAUACAAAGCGAAGUGCGAUACUGCCGAACUCCAUUCAGUAAAUACAGCAGUUACAUGGGGUGAAGGUUAUUGUA